UAACAACUUUAUGGGCUGUCUCAAAGAGGGAGUGAAACAGGCUUACAGAGAUUUCCCAGUUCCGUAAUGCUGGAGCCAGAAUUUGAACUCAGGAAGUCCA
rnacentral:sRNA from 1 species